rnacentral:tRNA from 1 species
GGUUAAUAAAACCCCUGAGUUGUGGUUUCAGAAAUGUCCAUCGAUCCUUUUUC